UUGGGGACCACUGAUAAAUAGUAUAAGUUUUAAACAAACAAUAUUGUACUCAGCAAUGAUGAUUGUGAAGCGUGGUUGAGGUGGUGGAAACAGGGUG